rnacentral:tRNA from 1 species
GCGCCGUUAGCUCAGCCUGGUAGAGCAGCUGAUUCUUAAUCAGCGGGUCGUGGGUUCGAAUCCCUCACGGCGUA